rnacentral:lncRNA from 1 species
AUGCGUGUCUGCGUGCGUGGACUUGGUGGAAACGAUGUUUGUGCCCUCCUACCCCCAGCACCCAGGGAACUGUGGCCACCUCACCAGGGAAGGGAGGUGGGCCUCAGACCCCUCCGGGAUCCUGCGGGCAGUUCCCUGGGCUGGAUCUGCGGUGCCCAGAGCCAUGACCCUCCCCGAGCCCCACCCCCAUUUCCCGUCUGGGAGAACGCUAGGGGGUCCCCAGAUGGCUGCCCGGGAGGAGCCCUGCUGUGCGGGCAGCCAUGGGUGAUGGGUGACGUUGGACACCUUGACGUCCAGCCGGGGGCCCUGCUGGCUGAGCUCCAGCCGCCUGGCACCCUGGCCUUGCCAGCCUUCAGCAAGCCCCCUGGGGAGGAAAGAAGGGGUGUGGUGGCUCCGGGGUGCUCUGGGGCUGGGGUCAGGAGGGCUCUACCUGCUGAGUGGGGGCCUGUUCUCCCUCCCAGGGUCUGUCUGUCCCUCUGGCUCCUGGGAACCGGUCAGCUUGCAUGGGGCGGGGGCAGGGGGGGGGGGGGCCCCCCCCCCGGGGGUGGGCUCCAGGGGCGGGGCCCAAUCAGGCCCUGCCCACCAGAGAUGGGGGCAUCUGGGUCACAGCCUGGACAGCGUGGGAAGCCAAUGGGGUAGGUGGGGUGCCCACUGGGUCCAACCCUCCCAGGGAGGCCCCUGAGCCAGCCCCCCGGGCUCGGCCUGGCCCCCGCCGGGGGCGUCCCCCCGCUGGCCCAGCUGCACCAGGCAGGGGACAGAAUGCUCUGCCCCAGGCGGGAGCCCAGGGGUCGGGGUCAAGGCCAGGGUGUUCUCACUCUGGAACAGGCAGGGUAGCAGGAGGCUCCACAGCCCUGAGGCCAAAGCGGGGCCAGAACAGGGCUGGGGGGACCUGGGUCACCGCCCGGGAGGCGGGCAGGGGAGGAGGGGGCAGGGAAGGCCGGCGGCGGUGGGGGGCGGCCCCACACCCUGGUCCUGGGGGCUGGAGGGCAGCUGUGGAGGGCAUGGGUGGCCUCAGACACCCCUGAGGGAGGACAGAACUGGGCACUGGGUGCUGGGCUCCGUCAGACAUGGGAAGGACCUGUACUCGAUCCCCGAGCUCGCCCUGGGCCACCUCUGCCCACCCUUGGCCUCCGGGCCCGAGGCUUCAGGCCUUGGCUCAGUCCCAGGCCGCCUCCUCUCCUCUGGGAAGGGCCUGGCCCUGGUUGGGUCCUUCCUCCCAGCUAGAUGGGGUAGGGCGGGGGAUCUGGGGGCCCUGCCUUGACCUCCCUGGGCCUGGCCGGUUAGCACAGGUCUUCUGCUCAGGGACUCUGGCCUCAGUGACCUGGUGGUCAACCUCCCAAAGGACCCAUCAUGCUCCGCCUAAGCCGGGGGGCAGCCCCAGCCCCUCUGAAAGCUCCUACCCUACGCCCCUGACCCCACCGGACCCUAAACCCGGCCAAGGCAGCGCCUGGCCUCCCGGGCUGGGGGCGCUCUGCUGCGCCAGGCCCAGCCAUCCUGCCACCGCUGCCCAGCCAACGGGGCCCUCUGGGGGGACGGGGCGGCGGUCAGCAGCGUGUCAGAAUGGGACAGCCCGCCCCCCAAGUGCUGUGUGACCAUCGGGCCUUCCGUGGUCAGCUCCUGCAGCGGCGGAGGCCAGGCGGGGCCUCCCCCCCCCACCCCCGCCCGCAGCGGGGCCCCCGCCCCCCGCGCCCCCCCCCGCC